GAGUUUGAUCGUGGCUCAGAACGAACGCUGGCGGCAUGCCUAACACAUGCAAGUCGAACGGGAUCCAGGCUUCGGCCUGGUGAGAGUGGCGGACGGGUGAGUAACGCGUGGGAACCUGCCCAAUGGUCUGGGAUAACCGCGGGAAACUGCGGCUAAUACCGGAUAAGCCCGAGAGGGGAAAGAUUUAUCGCCGAUGGAGGGGCCCGCGUCCGAUUAGGUAGUUGGUGAGGUAACGGCUCACCAAGCCGACGAUCGGUAGCUGGUCUGAGAGGAUGAUCAGCCACACUGGGACUGAGAUACGGCCCAGACUCCUACGGGAGGCAGCAGUGGGGAAUAUUGGACAAUGGGGGCAACCCUGAUCCAGCAAUGCCGCGUGAGUGAUGAAGGCCUUAGGGUUGUAAAGCUCUUUUGGCGGGGACGAUGAUGACGGUACCCGCAGAAUAAGCCCCGGCUAACUUCGUGCCAGCCGCCGCCGUAAC
rnacentral:rRNA from 1 species